UACGUAGGGGGCUAGCGUUGUCCGGAAUCAUUGGGCGUAAAGCGCGCGUAGGCGGCCCGGUAAGUCCGCUCUGAAAGUCCAGGGCUCAACCCUGGAAAGCGGGUGGAUACUGCCGGGCUAGAAUCCGGAAGAGGCGAGUGGAAUUCCUGGUGUAGCGGUGGAAUGCGCAGAUAUCUGGAGGAACACCAGUGGCGAAGGCGGCAUCCUGGACCGGUAUUGACGCUGAGGCGCGAAAGCUAGGGUAGCAAACGGG
rnacentral:rRNA from 1 species